rnacentral:rRNA from 1 species
CCUACGGGAGGCAGCAGUGGGGAAUUUUCCGCAAUGGGCGAAAGCCUGACGGAGCAACGCCGCGUGAGGGAUGAAGGCCUCUGGGCUGUAAACCUCUUUUAUCAAGGAAGAAGAUCUGACGGUACUUGAUGAAUAAGCCACGGCUAAUUCCGUGCCAGCAGCCGCGGUAAUACGGGAGUGGCAAGCGUUAUCCGGAAUUAUUGGGCGUAAAGCGUCCGCAGGCGGUCUUGUAAGUCUGUCGUUAAAGCGUGGAGCUCAACUCCAUUUCGGCGGUGGAAACUACAAGACUAGAGUGUGGUAGGGGCAGAGGGAAUUCCCGGUGUAGCGGUGAAAUGCGUAGAUAUCGGGAAGAACACCAGUGGCGAAGGCGCUCUGCUGGGCCAUAACUGACGCUCAUGGACGAAAGCUAGGGGAGCGAAAGGGAUUAGAUACCCCUGUAGUCCUAGCCGUAAACGAUGAACACUAGGUGUCGGGGGAAUCGACCCCUCGGUGUCGUAGCUAACGCGUUAAGUGUUCCGCCUGGGGAGUACGCACGCAAGUGUGAACUCGAAAGGAAUUGACGGCUGAAGUACGUGCGAGACGACGACGAGGAGAGG